CAAAGGGUAUUCAAGGCUUGUUUAUAGCUUCUGUUAGCUGGGAUAGUGAGAGUCUCUCCCUGAGGAAGCAUCCAUCCUUGGCUGAAGAUUAGCUCCUGGACUGGCAUAGAUUCUCCCAGCGUCUUUCCUCUGAGGGCUAGGAAAAGCCACCCUCCGCUGGCUGCUAUCUGAUGUCCACACCAGCUUCCUACUCCAGGUUCUUCCAUUCUAAGAAAACAGUUUCCCAGAAGCAGACCCUGAGGCCAGGAUUCCUGUGCAAGGGGCUUAUUAAGGAGGUGCUCCCAAGGGAGAUGAAGAAGGGAACAGAGAAAAUGAAGCAGGGAAGAGGGAAAAGUCAAGCUAAAAUAUGAUCCAGGCAAAAUCCAGCAGCCUGACUCCACAGGGGAACU